UACGUAGGGUGCGAGCGUUGUCCGGAAUUAUUGGGCGUAAAGGGCUCGUAGGCGGUCUGUCGCGUCGGUAGUGAAAACUCAGGGCUUAACCCUGAGCCUGCUUCCGAUACGGGCAGACUAGAGUGUGGUAGGGGAGAUCGGAAUUCCUGGUGUAGCGGUGAAAUGCGCAGAUAUCAGGAGGAACACCGGUGGCGAAGGCGGAUCUCUGGGCCAUUACUGACGCUGAGGAGCGAAAGCGUGGGGAGCGAACAGG
rnacentral:rRNA from 1 species